UGAGUGAUGGCGUGCCUUUUGUAGAAUGAACCGGCGAGUUACGAUUGCAUGCGAGGUUAAGUCGAAGAGACGGAGCCGCAGCGAAAGCGAGUCUGAAUAGGGCGAAUGAGUAUGUAGUCGUAGACCCGAAACCAUGUGAUCUACCCAUGUCCAGGUUGAAGGUGCGGUAAAACGCACUGGAGGACCGAACCCACGUACGUUGAAAAGUGCGGGGAUGAGGUGUGGGUAGCGGAGAAAUUCCAAACGAACUUGGAGAUAGCUGGUUCUCUCCGAAAUAGCUUUAGGGCUAGCCUCGGAAUUGAGAAUGAUGGAGGUAGAGCACUGUUUGGACUAGGGGCCCAUCUCGGGUUACCGAAUUCAGAUAAACUCCGAAUGCCAUUCAUUUAUAUCCGGGAGUCAGACUGCGAGUGAUAAGAUCCGUAGUCGAAAGGGAAACAGCCCAGACCACCAGCUAAGGUCCCAAAAUAUAUGUUAAGUGGAAAAGGAUGUGGGGUUGCACAGACAACUAGGAUGUUGGCUUAGAAGCAGCCACUCAUUCAAAGAGUGCGUAAUAGCUCACUAGUCGAGAGAUCCUGCGCCGAAGAUGUCCGGGGCUCAAACUUACCACCGAAGCUACGGGUUCACACUUAUGUGUGAGCGGUAGAGGAGCGUCGUAAUCGGGCUGAAGUCGUACCGUAAGGAGCGGUGGACUGAUUACGAGUGAGAAUGUUGGCAUUAGUAGCGAGAUGUGGGUGAGAAUCCCACAGGCCGUAAACCCAAGGUUUCCAGGGGAAGGUUCGUCCGCCCUGGGUUAGUCGGGACCUAAGCUGAGGCCGAAAGGCGUAGGUGAUGGACAACAGGUUGAUAUUCCUGUACUACCGAUAACCGUUUGAGAGAAGGGAUGACACAGUAGGAUAAGCUAAGCACACUGUUGGUUAUGUGUGCCCAAGCAUUGAGGCAGUCAAAGUAGGCAAAUCCGCUUUGAUAAUGCUGGGAUGUGAUGGGGAGCGAAAUUUAGUAGCGAAGUAGCUGAUUUCACACUGUCAAGAAAAGUCUCUAUCGAGGUUAAAGGUACCCGUACCGCAAACCGACACAGGUGGGUGAGGAGAGUAUCCUAAGGUCAGCGAGAGAACUGUUGUUAAGGAACUCGGCAAAAUGACCCCGUAACUUAGGGAUAAGGGGUGCCACCAUCAGGUGGCCGCAGAGAAUAGGCCCAAGCGACUGUUUACCAAAAACAUAGGUUUCUGCUAAGUCGCAAGACGAUGUAUAGGAGCUGACGCCUGCCCGGUGCUGGAAGGUUAAGAGGAUGGGUUAGCUUCGGCGAAGCUCAGAAUUGAAGCCCCAGUAAACGGCGGCCGUAACUAUAACGGUCCUAAGGUAGCGAAAUUCCUUGUCGGGUAAGUUCCGACCCGCACGAAAGGCGUAACGAUUUGGGCACUGUCUCAACAACAGACUCGGUGAAAUUGUAAUUCCGGUGAAGAUGCCGGAUACCUGCGACAGGACGGAAAGACCCCAUGGAGCUUUACUGUAGCUUGACAUUGGGUCUUGGUACUACAUGUACAGGAUAGGUGGGAGGCUUUGAAACCAGGACGCCAGUUUUGGCGGAGCCAUCCUUGGGAUACCACCCUUGUAGUACUGGGACUCUAACCAUAGGCCAUGAAUCUGGUCUUGGGACACUGUCAGGUGGGCAGUUUGACUGGGGCGGUCGCCUCCCAAAAGGUAACGGAGGCGCUCAAAGGUUCUCUCAGUACGGUCGGAAAUCGUACGUAGAGUGUAAAGGCAAAAGAGAGCUUGAUUGCAAGACAUACAGGUCGAGCAAGGAUGAAAAUCGGACUUAGUGAUCCGGUGGUUCUGCGUGGAAGGGCCAUCGCUCAACGGAUAAAAGCUACCCUGGGGAUAACAGGCUUAUCUCCCCCAAGAGUCCACAUCGACGGGGAGGUUUGGCACCUCGAUGUCGGCUCAUCACAUCCUGGGGCUGUAGUAGGUCCCAAGGGUUGGGCUGUUCGCCCAUUAAAGUGGUACGCGAGCUGGGUUCAGAACGUCGUGAGACAGUUCGGUCCCUAUCCGUCGCAGGCGUAGGAAAUUUGAGAAGACCUGUCCUUAGUACGAGAGGACCGGGAUGGACGUACCUCUGGUGUACCAGUUGUCCUGCCAAGGAGACGUUUCAUUUCUGCCACCGCAUCUUUCAGUCCGGUCAUCACUGCACGACCAAUAAUGGCAUGACCGAUAUUCAGUUCAUGCAUCUCAGGGAUGGCGGCAAUGGCUUUCACGUUGUGAUAGGUCAGACCGUGUCCGGCGUUAACUUUCAGACCGAGACUAGUGGCAAAGGUCGCGGCUUUGGCGAU
rnacentral:rRNA from 1 species